rnacentral:lncRNA from 1 species
GAAAACCCUAGCUCGCCCUCGUCCAUUCCCUCCUUGGUCCCUUUCGUUCCCCAUCCUCUCUUGCCCGAAUUCGAGCUCGGAGAAUUCGUGGUCACCGCUGCCUCGCCCUCGUUGACGCGUCCAACGGCCUCUUCGGCGUGCGGGAGGAUGUCUAGGAGGUCCGCCGCUGCCGGAUCCAUCCAUUUCGGAGACCAGCUCAAGCCGGGACGGCCCGUACGCUCGCCAUCGCCGCCAUCUUCGCCCAUGGCCGCCACACCUCGCCAUCAAGUUCGUCGCAUCCCGGCCGCCCCGUGCCUUUGGACCUUGUCCACGAGCCUCCUGGUAAGCUCCUCUGCCGAUUCCCCUGGUUCCCGUGCUCGAUUCGUUGUCAUAGUUGUCGCCCCGAGUUCGUCCGUGCGCGCCCGUGCGUGGCCUCGGCGCUGCCGUGCUGCUGCUAUUGCGCCCCGCCGUCCGCCCGUUGCCGCAUCGCCGCGCCCCACGUCCAUGUGCGCGCUCGUGCGCCCCUCCGUCGCCCAGCCUACGCGUGCAUCGUCGCGAUCGCCCGCUAUCGUGCUCCUGUUGUUGCCCUGCUACUGCUGCCAUUUGCCACUGCUGCUACUUGAUGUACUGCUUGCAGCUACCAUGCUGCCGCUUCCACGCGUCGUAUGCUCGGCCACUCCCGUGUCAUUGCUGCAGCUGGCAUGGCAAGGCCAUGGCCAAGUACGCCAUGCGUGUUUGUGCUGUGUGCACAUGCGUGUGUGUGAUGUGUAUGGUGUGCACGGCCAUGUACGUGUGUGUGGCCGGCUGGUUAGUCUAAUUAGUGGUUAUUGUAAAGAGUAAAAAGGAAAGAGAGAGCAAAUGAUUAAACAGUUGUCUCACUGAUUGAAGAUGUGGGUAUAUAUACCCUAGUACAAAGGCGGUUACAAGGAGCAGUUGUUAAACUAAAGCAACUGACAUAGCAGGGAUUAUCCCUUAAUUAAUUCCUAACACUCCCCCUAAUCAAUGCUUGUCUUUAUAAUAUAUAUCAUGUUGAUAAAGACUCCUCCUUGUAUGUGUUUGCCUUCGAGAAUGUUCAUCAUCUUCAUUUUGAGAAAUCGUUGUAUAAUCUUUAAAGUCUCCUCCAAAAACCCUGUGGGAAAAAUAUGAGGAGAAUAGUGUAGAUAUGUUGCUAAAACUCCUUUAAACCCAGUGGGAAAAAUAAUAAGGAGAAAAUAAUGCAACAUAUAAUGAUUAUUGUCUCUUGAUAACUCAUAUGAGAAAAACCUUUGAAGAAGGAGAAAACUCAUUGGUGAAUUUAGAGAACAAUUGAUAUGUCUUGAUUACUUUCUUUAAAAACCCCAAUAGGGAAAAUAGAAAGUAUGACAUAUGAUCUUUGAUAAGAUAUUGCCUCAUUAAAAACCAUUAUGAGAAACUUUUGAGAGAAAAACUCAUAAGGGAAAAGAGUGCAUUUGACAUGCCAUUGAAAACUCCUUUAAAACCCAAUGGGAAAAAUAUAAGGAGAAAAUGAUAUGGCAUAUACAAACACUUGUGAUUAUAUUGUCUCGUUAAAAACCUUUUAUGAGAAACCAUUAGGGAAAAACUCAUCGAGGGAAAAAGAGUACAAUACAUGCAAUCUGAUGAUUGUUAAUAGGUUAUAGUUUGGGAGAUUACUCCCCCUCAACUUUGCAAAUAUGGUGGAUGUCUCAUACCAAUUUCAUUGACAUGAACAUAAGAUUGUGUAUAAUCUGUUGGAUUUUCACAUGAUUUUGUUUGCAAAUUAUUUCCUCGCUUUUCUAUAAUCCAUGAGGAUAAUAGUUUCCGAGCAAUGUGAUUUGUGAUAUUGCUCUUCAUAUAACCUGUUGGUAUUGAGUAACACAAGUGGAAGUAGCUUUAUAAAUCAAGUAAUGUGAUUCUGAUGAAUCUCAACCACAUGAUUUUGAGUGUGGUUAAUCAUUCUGCUAAGUUAUGCAUAUUUUGCAAUGCCUUUAGAUAAGCAAUUAUGUUAGAAUGAUAAUUGGAACCAUUAAAAUUCAUUUAUAUAACUUCCAUGUGAAGGCUAUUCCAACAAAUUCAGUCAGUGAUAUGGCGUCAUUGGGAUCAAAUAAAAAGCUAAUAUCAUUACAUCAUAUCAUGGUCAUAUCUUCUAUUUCCUCAUGGAAAUAUCCAAGAUUUACUGGAAUCUUCAGAUAUAAGAUGAUAGUAUUUAUAUCAACCAUAUACCUUUUGUUGUUAUGAUAUAUCCACACUGAACUUCUCGUAUAUGUUUUGGAUAUAUGUAGACUGAUACGUAUUCUUGAUAGAAUGCUCAAGUUGUAAACUUAAGCUAAAUUUGGUUGAAUCCAAAUUUUCCGUCUUGAGAUGAUUUUAUGUAUGUUUAGGUCUUGCAGAGACAUUGAGGAUGAAAUCAUCGAUAUAAACCGAGGUGAUAUAAGGAAUUCAAAUUUGGUAUUCCUUUGUUAACACAUAAACAAUCAUCAUUGAGUAAUCCUUCGGAAGAAGAAAAUCAUUUAGUCGGUAGUACCAUAUGAUUUCCGACUAUUUUGAGCCAUAGAGUGACUUCUGAAAUUUUACACAAAUAUGUUGCGAUUUAUUUUGGAUUUGGAAUUGUAAGCCCAUCAGGGACUUCAUUAUAAAUUUCCAAAACGAGUAACUCAUAUGAGUAUGUAGUUACUGCAUCCAUUAACUGCAUGGAUAAUAUUAUUUGUACUACCAAUGAUAUUUAUUAUCAAAACUUAAUUCCACUCAUACCAGGAGUGUAUGUUACAUCAUAAUUUGAUGUCGGGUCUCUGCGUGAACCCUUUUGCUACAAGCCUCGCUUUUUCACCACCUCAUUGACUUUGUCUAUGAAUGAGACGUUUUUAGUAUUCCAUAUGGAAGAUACUUAUGAGGAGUAGGUAUUAAUGUGGUAAAUACCACUCUUUGAUGCGCGACUGUUAUUCUUCAUUACUUGCUUCCUUUUAUGUGAACCAAUAUGAGUACAAGAGGCACUCUACCAUGGAUUUUGGUUCAGGGCCCAAAAGGUUUUAGCAAUUUUCAGAAGAAAUAUAUGUCGACAAAUGUAGACUUAUGUUAUAUGAUUUUGGAGGAAUCAGUGAAAUUUGUGGAAAUGUAUUUAUUCCUUUUAACUCCUUGUGAUUUCCUACAACAAUGGAGUCAAGGUGUUUCGAUGUCCCGACACGAAAACAUUUGUGCACAUUUAUGUCGGGCUUUGGAUGAUGAGCAUCCAGUGAGGUGUUCUUUCAACUUGAUGUUGAAUUACAUUUACUGGUUGAGGAUUUGAUUUCCUCUAUUUCCGCGGAAGCAUAUGCGAGAUUAUAUCUCGUGUGGUCAGAUUUCUUCCCCUCUUGCUCUCAUUUCGGGAGAAGAGUGGUUUAUGAGGUACCUCCACUCUUUCUGACACUUUACUGCAAGAAUUUAAAAUUGAGUGACACCUUUGUGAUCAGUAAAUUUAUGUGGCAGAUUUGCAAUGUGUUGCAAAUAUGUGACUCUAAACUUCUUGUUCAGAUUCUUUGAGUACGUGGAUAUAAGGCCUAAAUGUGAAUACCAUUUCUAAUUUAUUUCUUGGCAUUCUUUGUGGUACUUAUCUCCCCCUAAUGCCAGAAAUGUCCUUAUUGCUGAUGCAAUGACCAUACGGGCUAUGUAUAGUUUUGAUUGACGAAUAAGUUGUUAUUCCUCACAUAGAUCCCUAAUUUUCUAUGAGAGCCCAUUGAUGUAUGCUGGAGUGGUGAUAUCAGUAUGUAACCAAAUUAUCGCAGAUAGGAAAUACUUUGUUGAUUUCCACGUAAUUACUACAAGGGGAAAGUAGUACGCUAUGCAGUUGGUAUGAUUUAUAUCAUACUUACGGUGUGUAAUGUCGUAUUUGUCUAGCAUGAGGCUAGUAAAUUACGAUUCUAUAAGUUUGGUCAUAUUAUUAAUUUCAUUAUAUUUGAUAAGAUAUUGAACUAAACCAUUAUGUGUAUUACAUAAUGUAUUAUGUAUAAUCAGACAUUGCUUGUGAAAUAAGUUCAACGAAGUUGUCCAUUCGAAUGGAUUUAUCCCUUGUUUACGAUAACUUGCUCUUACUUUGAGAAUUUGAGCAAUUAAUUUAGUUAUAUAAUUCAUGGUUUGUGUGACAAGAGACACAAUGGAAAUCAUUUUAUAAAUGUUUCCAUGAGUACCAUGAAGUAUCUAUAUAAUAUCAUAUAAUGGUUGAGUAAUCCACAUAUCUUCUAAAUGUCUUCAAGGAAGAAUAAGUGGCGCAUUUGAAUUUUUAAGGUGAGAGAACCUUAAAACUUAUUUCCCCUAUGGCACAUGUGGUGCACAUAAAAUCUGUUGAUUUGGGAAAUAUUAUAACUUAAAAAGUUUUGUGACCAAUAGAAUUACCAAUAAUUUUCUAAUCAAGCCCAAACCUAGAUUGUAAGGCUUAAAACCAAAUAUUUUGUAAGAUUUAGAAAAUUAUUGUGUACGCAACAAACUGAGUAUGAAUUGAUUCAUACAUGCAAAAUUUGUCAAAUAUAACGUUCAAGCAAUAGGAUAUUGGACAUCGCACUACAUGUAGUAGUACAAGUAUAGGCCAACAAUAUUUUGGGAAUAAUCAGGAUAUUGCAUGAGGUCUCCCAUAUUAUUGAAAAAAAUAGUUACGCAAACAUAUCAUAGGCACAAAAUAAUUGAUCAUUCUUUUAUUGCAUUAUAUUUUUGGUUCUCCUUCUGAUGAAGAUUUGAGAACAUCAUUUACCAGAAUAUUUUCUGGUUGUAUGUUUGCAAUUUUUUUAAAUAUCCCAAUGAACUUAUUAGCCUUUUGAAUAAAUUUUUGAUGUGGUUUGACCAUAUGUUUGAGGGUUUCAUAAUCAUAGGUAUGAUAUUUAUAUAACCACACAUUUGACAAACUUGAGGUUUGUCUUUGUAAUCGUUUGAAAAUGACAUAUUCCCUGUAAAGAGUUAAUUCUAUCUUUGGUUGUCUUUUAGCCUCCACUUUACUUUGGAUUCAUCAUGGUCCUAUUUUGUGACCAAUGACUUGCUUAGUAUUUGCAAUACUAGCAAAAAUUUCAAAUAAUGGAAUAGCACCCGUUGGGUGAAUCUGAUGAUUUUAUGAAAUUCCAUGUUUCUUCAGCAUGAAAAUGGUAGGACUAUCAUAAGAAGAUGUAAAGUGUAUUGAGGGCUUUUCAACUCGAUCUCCGGAUGAAAAUAUUUGAUCAUGAGAUCUCAAUUUAAAGUUGAUUCACUGACAAAAAUGUGAGUUGCGAUAGACUUGAGGUCUUGAGAAAUGAAUGGGUGAUUAUUCGCGAUGUGCUCAUGGCAGCAUGUUUCUCUUAGGGAAAUAUUCAAGGACAAUACACAUGUAUCCAUCAUAUACUUAGUUUGAGAAUCAAGUGAAGUUGGUGACAUAUAAAAUACAUAUGUGCAUCAAUAGAAUAGCCAUGUGUUACAUGAAAUGGUCAUGCAUUAUUUAAUUUACUUCUUGGAGUAAAAUAAAAUAUAUGGAUGAAAUGAUAUUGUUGAGCACAGUCCGCCAAGGCGAUGCUUGGUGAACAUGGGGUGUAAAGCUUCAAUAUAGUGCAUACGAUGAAAUCGUUGCUAAUGUUUUGGGCUUCAUUUGUGAGAAAAGUGUGACUUUAGAGUCCCAGCCAAAACAUAGACUUUGCAAUUUUAAUAUUGCUUAGUCACUAUGAAAAUAAGGACCACAAUGUGAUGUGGAUCUUGCAAUAGUGUUUGAGACACUCACUAUAAAUUAUGGUAUCCAUCUUGAUGGAUGGAUGACACUAUAAUUAGAAAUAGUGACGUAGGCUCCAUUGCCAUGCAUUUUACAAAUGUAGUAGAAGGUAAUCACACGUAUAUGCAAUUGUUUUCAUAGUUUCCUAUGACAUAUUCAAGCAAAAUGUGCAAGAACAAUAUUUACUAUGAGAGUAAAAUAUUUAAGUGAACAACAACAAUAAAUGCUUCGGAGGAGCAAAUUCUAGUACGGCUGAUGCCUUAUAACCAUAUGUGUAGACCUCAAUUUAUAUAGGAUAGCACUUUGAAGAUAAUCACCAAUAUGGUGUAGAUCUCGCAAUAAUAGAAAACAUAGUGUGACUAUUGUCAGUAGAUGUUUAUAAUUCUAUUACCUUAUGUUAUGCUAUUUUUAAGAAAAUCACUUUGAAGGUAAUCAUAUGUCAGGAUGGCAUGAUGUAGACCUCACAGUAGUAUUUGAUAAUCUGCAAGAUUUUGCAGUAGAUACCAAUAUUACCUUAUGAUAUCCUGAGGUAGUCACAUAUUAAUAUUUGGAAAAUCACUUUGAAGGUAGUCAUCUUGUCCAAAUGACAAGAUGUAGACCUCACCAUAGUGGUGGAUAAUCUGCAAAUGGCGCGGUAGAUGCCACCAGUACCUUGCGAUUUCACAAAUAAAAUUUUGGGUAAUCACAUUAUGAAUUGGAAAAUCACAUUAAAAGUAGUCAUCUUAUCAAAAAUGACAAGAUGUAGACCUUACAGUAAUGAUGGAUAAUCUGUAGAUUAUGCAGUAGAUGCCAUCAAUACCUUGUGAUCCACAAAUGUGAUUUGAGGUAGUCAUAUUAAGUAUGACACUUCUUAAUUCUUGUUUGAAUUUACAUCCAUACUUGUAAGAAAAUUGAAUUUCUAUUGCAAGAAUUUAGUUGUUGUCCACAGUAACAUAUUAUAUUGAUUGCAUGAGGUAGACAGAUUGAACAUGUCUUUUUUUUCUUUUGUACGCUUUACAUCAAGUACAUAGACUAAACUGAGCAAACUAAGUCUGAAGACUUAAAACUGCAACCGCAAGUGUUAGAGAUUGAAUGGCAGUUUUAGAAAUCUUGGGUACUAAAACAUACGGUUUAGUAAAUCACAAUUAACCCUUAAUGGAUCUGAAACUGCAGGGACAAGAUAUGAUUAUCUUAAAGUACAGGGUUGAAUUGAAUAAAUUCCAAAGAAGAUAAGAUCCCUAAUUUCUUUCUCUCUUGUGUAUGCGUAUGCGGUAGCAAUUGAAAAACAUCUACAGCGUUGCUCGCUUUAUGGACAAAGCCAAACCAUUGUAGCCGCAGCCGGCGGCAUGAACUAUUGUGGACGAUGCCGCCAAGGUGUGCCGCAUACUGCUGCCACGCCGGGCGCUGGGAGAUGGGGAGCCGCCGCCCAGCCUUAUGUGCUCGCCGGAGAGGACCUGCCAAGGGCCGUGGCUUCGGAUGCGAACGAGCCGGAGGGCUUCGCCGCCCCCUAUUGGAUGCGGCAGGAUCACGAUGCCACGCGUUGUGUAGGGAUGCACAAUCAGGCCCGGUGUGAAGGUCUCGCCAUGGCCUCCAUGGACAAUGCACGGUUCCUUUUUUUCGAUACAAAGCCAUUCACGUUAGUGCAUAGAUGUACAUACAAAAUUGAUUGAUUACGAGAUGACGAUGAGGAGCAAAUUCUUGAUUUAUUUCCCGAAUUGUAUUUGACCAUUCGGUGCCGCAUCUUGUAGCCGCCGAUCGGUAGCAGUGCCAUGACCGCACAGGGAGGGUGAAGCCGUGCUGGGUCGGGAGCCGUCACGCGCGCUCCGGACACGUGGCGCUGGGAGUCACCGUCGUCCUGCCUUGCGCCUCAUCGAUAUGACCUCGCCCAGUUCCUGCCGCUGUAGCGCCGUUCGUCGUCUGUGUGCCUCCCGCUGCCGCUGAUGCCGGAGCGUCUCAUAGGUUGGAGGGCGUCGCACCCGAUCUGCUGCCGCGUCGGGAGGAGCCAAGCCGAGGGGCGUUGAGCACCACGCACGGGCCGGAGGGAGCGACGAUGCGUCGCCGAAGUGCCGCUGUCUCUUGUCCCAGAGCGGGGCUGCAACGAGGAGGACGCCGCGCGCGUGCCGGAGGGCGUGGCUGCGAAGGGCCGACCGUGGUCGCCGCAGCGACGGCAGAGGUUCGAGCGUGUCUCCGGCGAUUCAUUGUGAUGCAUCUGCCGUUCUUCCGAUGUGGCCUAUUUCUCUAAUCGAGAGCAGAGUGCGUGAUAACGUGUAAAGAGUAAAAAGAGUACAAAGGAAAGAGAGAGCAAAUGAUGAAACAGUUGUUUCAUUGAUUGAAGAUGUGGAUAUAUAUACCCAGUACAAAGGCGGUUACAAGGAGCAGUUGCUAAACUAAAGCAACUGACAUAGCAGGGAUUAUCCCUUAAUUAAUUUAUUUAAUUAAUUCCUAACAGUUAUUAGAUAGUAUGGUGUGCACGGUCAUGUACAUGCAUUGUUAUUUUAGCUUAGUUAGGCCAAUUAGUGGUUAUUAAGUAGUAUGGCGUAAUGCCUUGUGUACCCCAAAUGAUCUGAUUAGUUUCUUUAUCUAUUUAGUGUAGUCUAUGCCACGUGGGCCUCUGGUUUAUUUUAUAAGCCUCAUACGAAAUAUGUGUAAAUGACAUAUGUGGCCAUCCCGUAAAAAAAUUAUUAUAAAUAUAUAUAUGUAAAAUAAUAUUAAUUAAUUAGUGAGUAAUUAACUAACUAUUAAUUAGUUGAUUUAAUCAAUCCCUAAUUAAUUUGUCUAAACUAAUUAGGUAAUUAUCUGAUAUGUAUAAUAUUUUAUGUUAGUUAAUUUGUAUGGUGGACACGUGGGGCUCACUGAUCAUGCUGAUGUCAUUAACACUUAUUUGAAUUAAAUUAAUUUUGUUUAUUUUAAAAAUAUAAUUAAAACUUAAAAAUUAAUAUAAAAUAAUCCGUAAGUGAGAUGAAAAUACUUCCAACAUGGAACUUUUCCCGGUUACACGGUCCAUUCGUCUGUCACGUGUCUCUAGCAUAGCAAACAUGGAACUUUUCCAUCGUUUCUCGUUUGAUCGGUAGUAGCCCGAGACCCGGAAAAUAUCGUCAGAUAUUCUUCCGACCCGUCUAUGAUGGAUGUUAUUUCAUUAGCUCAUGCCUAGCCUGCUUUUUUUCAUGUCGUGCUUAGUGUUGCACUGUUGUUAUUAUUAAUUGUUUCUUCCCCCUCUUCUUACCGGUAGACCCCGAGACCGAUGAUGAUCCGGUGAUCGACUACUUCCCGGUCAAGGAUCCGUUCUGUUUGCAGAGCAACAAGGCAAGCAAACCCCCCUUGAUCAUUCCUAUAUCGCCUAUGUCUUUCUUCCUACUUCUUGCAUUAGUAUUUUGCUACUGUUGUAGUUAGCUCCUAUAUCUGAUGCAUAGCCUAUUUUGAUGAACUGCUACUUUCAGCUCUGUACUUUAAAUCUGCUUAGUAUAGGUCGAGCAGUCAUCCCCUCUGACCCUGUAGUUCAGUUGCCCCGCUUGCUUUCAAUCUCGAUCCCUAAUCAAAGAGCCAGACCCGACACAGCACACACACACACCCUUAGUUGUACGACGCUACAGAGAUACUAUCGGGUACCGAGGGUGACACCUCGCUGAGUACUCCUGAUGAUAUCUCUGUAGUAUAGCUAGUCGGACGUGGUUAUCGAGGGUGAUUCCUCUUUCACCAUUCCCGAUGACGCCUCUCUCGUGCAACCCCUCAAGUGUGGGACCCAUGAUGGUGAUUCCGCUAAGCCCACCUUGACGGAUACAUCGUUCGGAAUCCAACGAGGGUGAUACCUCGGAUUCCCCCCGAUCUUACAACCACACAGUUACUCGACCAUGUUACUAGGAUCAUUGGUGAUUAGUUGUUAAGACGGGUGGAUUCCCGCGAGACUGUGUUGAUGGCCUAAUUAAAAUGUUAAUGGAUUUGGGUAUUUGAUCUGGGUUGGUCGGAGACCUUUUCGCACUAACCGUCUGCGUGGGAAGAAUUAUGGGUACUCGGCGUCGCGGUAUCAGCCGAAGCUUUUCAGAUGUCAGCAACGUAGUGGCGCGCGCCCGAGUGGUCCCGAGAUGCAUUGCCCUUGUGAUUAAGGGAUGCUAGGACUGACGUCGGUCGCCCUCGCAUCGUGCAGGAGCACGGAGGGGGAACUAGGCCCAUGAACCCUUUGCGCUUAGGAUUUAGACCGGCGGGCUGGCCUCUCUGGUUAGUCUUAGGUGGAGCUGCGACGUGUCGAUAUUCCGAGGCCGGGCUGGACCCAGAAAAGUAUGUCUGGCCAGAGUGUUAUCGAGCGUGACGGGACAUGUGGUGCACCCCUGCAGGGAUGAAAAUUAACUAUUCGAAUAGCCGUGUCCACGGUUACAGGACGACUUGGAGUUGUGCCCUGAUCUUAUACAACUACAACUGGUACUUAACUGGAAUUAGUUGGCUCGGGAUUGCUUCCUCGCAGGGAGUCGAGGGAGGAUCUCUAGGCAUGACCUCACUUUAAUAUUGCUGCAACAAUAUGACUAUUAAUUGUGUUACCUUAUUCUACUCUCGUCUUUUGCUGCAAGAUCCUGAAGAUGCUAGUCUUCGAUAGGACUAGGCCUUCUCUCUAUUCUUGCAUUGUUGCAGUCAGUCCACAUAUAAAACCACUUCUUUGAUACUGGUGCAUAUUUAGCAUAGUUCUGAUGUAAGUCUUGCGAGUACUUUGGAUGAGUACUCACGCUGCUUUGCUCCCCCUUUGUCCCCUUGAUCCGUUGCUGCGACCAGAUGAUGGAGCCCAGGAGAUGUAGUUUCCUGCCGACGCCUGUUGCCCCGUUGGCGUUUUCUACGUGGAGGCCGCUAAUGAUCAGGAGUAGUUAGGAGGUUCCCAGGCAGGAGGCCUCGCCUCGUUCGAUCGUUGUAUCUUUUGUGCUAGCCUUCUCUAAGGCACCCCAUGUUUUAUGUCUGUACUCAGGUAUUGUUGCUUCCGCUGACUCGUGUGUUUAUCGAGCUUUUGUAUUCUAGCCCUCGAGGCCCCUGGCUUGUAACAUGAAGCUUGUAUUAUUUUAUUUGUGUCUAGAGU